rnacentral:lncRNA from 1 species
UUCUGGAGGCUGAGGAGCCCCAGGUUGAGGGGCUUCAUCUGGUGAGAGCCUUCUUGCUGGUGGAGACUCUGAAGAGUCCCGAAGUGGUGUGGGGAAACAUAUGGUUUGUUUUUUAUCAGUGUGUUGUACAGAGCGAAUGGCCUCGGACCUUCAAUGGCUGUGCACUGCUUUCUCAGGACUUUCCCUCAAAGGGAAGAACUGACCCUUAUCUCUUUCCCUUUUCUCCACCAUUAGAGCUCAGAGAUCCCAAGAGGCAAAGCGGGGAAAGAAUAAGAAGAAUUGGCCAAAUGCAAUGUACCUUGAAGAAGUUUAAGAAUAUUAAUUCACAUCAAGUCAAAAUCGUCACCAUUAUGAAAGUAAUUACAACAACCACUGCUUUUGCUUAUUUUCCAUUUAUGCGAUUCAGCAGUACAAGCAAAAUGAGUUUUAGAAAUCAUUUCACUCUGGAAAGCUUUCAGAUCACAGAUUCCUGCUCAUAAGUGGAUAAAUGAUGCAGUAAAAUUGAACAAACACAGCUCGUCCUACAUUCUGAAGAUGGGGCACAUUUAUCAGAAGAGAAAAACUGCCAGAGAGAAUUCACAUCAGUGCAGACCGAGAGUCUCAGAUGGCUAAGAGAUGUGCCUGACAACUUUUCAGAAAUAAGACUAUUAAAAGAAGGUCAGCUUGGAGUCUUACUGCGAAGAAUUAUAAACAGGCACGUGGAUUAUAAAUAGGGAGUUGGCAUGGUGGUUAAAUUUUUCUAAAACAGUCAUAUUAAUGUGUUCAAAAAUCCACUGCUGAGUCUCAGAGAGAGGGUCACAUCU